GAUGAAGAACGUAGCGAAAUGCGAUAAGUAAUGUGAAUUGCAGAAUUCAGUGAAUCAUCGAAUCUUUGAACGCACAUUGCGCCCUCUGGUAUUCCGGAGGGCAUGCCUGUUCGAGCGUCAUUACGCCCCUCAAGUCCCCUGUGGACUUGGUGUUGGGGAUCGGCGAGGCUGGUUUUCCAGCACAGCCGUCCCUUAAAUUAAUUGGCGGUCUCGCCGUGGCCCUCCUCUGCGCAGUAGUAAAACACUCGCAACAGGAGCCCGGCGCGGUCCACUGCCGUAAAACCCCCCAACUUUUUAUAGUUGACCUCGAAUCAGGUAGGACUACCCGCUGAACUUAAGCAUAUCAAUAAGCGGAGGA
rnacentral:misc_RNA from 1 species